rnacentral:rRNA from 1 species
AUGCAGUUCCCAGUUUGGUUAAUGGCGCGCAAGCCGUGUGGUUCAGAAAAUAGUAACAUGCAUCUCGUCGGUGGCAGCGUGCAGUUUACCUGGUCCCUCGAUGUUGUGGAGUCAUCAGUUUUCUGUUGCGUUUCAAGACCGCUCUGUUUCAGAUUUUGCUUGCGCAUAGCAGUGCAGUUCGCUCGGGUCCUUUGUGCGGUGCGGUUGGGUGUCAUUUGGGAUAAUAGAGAAUUUGAGCACACAUAUGGACACCGGCUUGCUAGAUUUGAUGGUCAAGGGAAUGCACAAGCUAACACAAUAUGGCAGGAAGUGUGGAACCUUAAUUUUCCUAGGAAGAUUAAGCACUUCGCUUGGAAGGCGCUGAAUGGUUCACUGCCCUGCUAUGGAAUACUAGCUAACAGGCACAUCCCGCUUACACCACAGUGUCCUUUCUGUUCGGUUGGGCUAGAAGAUAUUCAACAUUGCUUGUUUACAUGCAACAGAGCACAGGAAGUCUGGACAGAACCGGGAGUACAAAAUGUUAUUGAGGAUGCGAUUAUGUAG